rnacentral:rRNA from 1 species
UACGGAGGGUGCAAGGCGUUAAUCGGAAUUAUUGGGCGUAAAGAGCUACGUAGGCGGUUUGUCACGUCGGCUGUGAAAACCUGGGCUCAACCCCGGGCCUGCAGCCGAUACGGGCAGACUAGAAUUCGGCAGGGGAGACUGGAAUUCCUGGUGUAGCGGUGAAAUGCGCAGAUAUCAGGAAGAACACCCGUGGCUAAGGCGGCUCUCGUAGUACGGUACUGACGCUGAGACGCGAAAGCGUGGGGAGCGAACAGG